UGCGGUCAGUGGAGAGCAAGUAACAAACUUGAAUUUGGGUUGAAGCAAGCGAUGUGGAUUGUGUGGGCAUUGCCAUGUUGCUAUGCGGUCCUGGUUACUGGUGGUAACAGCCAGAAUAAUUAACGGUAUACGACAUGCAUGUACAGAGGGUCUGACAUAUCGCGUAUUGCUGUAACAUGUCCCCCAAAAGCUGUAACCUCACCAACAGUUAAGACAGUUACACCCAGAACUAUAUUCUGUUAAACAAGGAUAUUGUCUCAUACCUUUCGCAGUGCUGCAAGUUACUUGUGAGAUAGAGUAUAACUUCAAAGCCCUGGGCUGAAUACUACCGUAUGGCUCAAGUGUCCUUGUGUCUUCCUCUGUCUGUAAGCGUUGUCCCUCGAACCGGCCAGUAAUGCACACAUAUUGAUUUCUUUGGCACUGCUGUGUGUUGGGUCUGCUGGUAUGCGAACUUGGAUAACAUUUUAGCUCCAGCAGACAAGGACAAAAGGGACACGUAGACACCACAAUAACUCAUUGUGGUGUGUAUGUCUCCCUUUUAUUCCAGCAUUAAAAUGUUAUCCAUGAUUUCCUUUCAUUGCAACACACUGAUUCAGUGAUUCAGACAGAAGCAUGGAUGAAUAUACAUGAACAAGUGCUUAUGUACAGAUUUUUGUGUCCAGUGACUGGUAAAAAGUUAAAGAAAAGGCAAUGUCUUUAAGUGGGACCACAAAUACUGCAAUCGAGGUGUUGUGAAUAUUUGCUGACACUGAGAAAAUCCUGAAUGCACAUCAAGAAACAAGCACGAAAAAGCCACUGUGUUUUCAUAUUUGUUUGAGCAUCUCAUCUUUCAGAAAUAAAGAA
rnacentral:lncRNA from 1 species